UGCAGUCGAGGGGUAGGGGCUUUCGGGCCUUGAGACCGGCGCACGGGUGCGUAACGCGUAUGCAAUCUGCCUUUCACAGAGGGAUAGCCCAGAGAAAUUUGGAUUAAUACCUCAUAGCAUUACAGGAUGGCAUCAUCCUGCAAUUAAAGUCACAACGGUGAAAGAUGAGCAUGCGUCCCAUUAGCUAGUUGGUAAGGUAACGGCUUACCAAGGCGACGAUGGGUAGGGGUCCUGAGAGGGAGAUCCCCCACACUGGUACUGAGACACGGACCAGACUCCUACGGGAGGCAGCAGUGAGGAAUAUUGGUCAAUGGACGCAAGUCUGAACCAGCCAUGCCGCGUGCAGGAUGACGGUCCUAUGGAUUGUAAACUGCUUUUGCACAGGAAGAAACACUCCGACGUGUCGGAGCUUGACGGUACUGUGAGAAUAAGGAUCGGCUAACUCCGUGCCAGCAGCCGCGGUAAUACGGAGGAUCCAAGCGUUAUCCGGAAUCAUUGGGUUUAAAGGGUCCGUAGGCGGUCUUGUAAGUCAGUGGUGAAAGCCCAUCGCUCAACGGUGGAACGGCCAUUGAUACUGCAGGACUUGAAUUAUUGGGAAGUAACUAGAAUAUGUAGUGUAGCGGUGAAAUGCUUAGAGAUUACAUGGAAUACCAAUUGCGAAGGCAGGUUACUACCAAUUUAUUGACGCUGAUGGACGAAAGCGUGGGUAGCGAACAGGAUUAGAUACCCUGGUAGUCCACGCCGUAAACGAUGGAUACUAGCUGUUGGGAGCAAUCUCAGUGGCUAAGCGAAAGUGAUAAGUAUCCC
rnacentral:rRNA from 1 species